rnacentral:rRNA from 1 species
CCUACGGGUGGCAGCAGUGAGGAAUAUUGGUCAAUGGGCGCGAGCCUGAACCAGCCAAGUCGCGUGAAGGAUGACUGCCCUACGGGUUGUAAACUUCUUUUAUAAAGGAAUAAAGUGAGGCACGUGUGCCUUUUUGUAUGUAUUUUAUGAAUAAGGAUCGGCUAACUCCGUGCCAGCAGCCGCGGUAAUAAGGAGGAUCCGAGCGUUAUACGGAUUUAUUGGGUUUAAAGGGAGCGUAGAUGGGUUGUUAAGUCAGUUGUGAAAGUUUGCGGCGCAACCGUAAAAUUGCAAUUGAUACUGGCAGUCUUGAGUACAGUUGAGGUAGGCGGAAUUCGUGGUGUAGCGGUGAAAUGCUUAGAUAUCACGAAGAACUCCGAUUGCGAAGGCAGCCUACUAAACUGCAACUGACAUUGAUGCUCGAAAGUGUGGGUAUCAAACAGGAUUAGAUACCCUUGUAGUC